GCUUUUAAAGGAUAACAGCUCAUCCAUUGGUCUUAGGAACCAAAAACUCUUGGUGCAAAUGCAAGUGAAAGCU
rnacentral:tRNA from 1 species